UCCGCGGUAGCUCAGUCGGUAGAGCGGCUGCCUUGUAAGCAGCGGGUCGCCGGUUCGAUCCCGGCUCGCGGAUCCA
rnacentral:tRNA from 1 species